rnacentral:misc_RNA from 1 species
CUUUUCUGGAAAAGCUAAUUAGCAAACUUAGAUGGUAUUACAGAGACCCUGCCUACCACACCGAAGAUUACCAACAAGCAGAAAACCCAAAGAGAAUAAAGGUGAAUGGAUUCAUAGGCAAGAACGAAGUUAACUCUGCGCAAGGACAUCCAUUGCAGACCACAAGAAGACUAGCAUUAGGCCUUGCCUCUAUAGCACUCAUAGGAAACACUGGCAAUGGAGUCUCUCUUGCUGAGGAUAACGGCUUCUGGCAGCUCGAUUUCCCUUUGAUUGUUUCGCCUCCUGUCAACAAUAGUAAGCUUUCUAUGCACAGUUUCUGCUCCUCUAAUGCUACAGUGUUUCUCUACUGCAAAAUGGUGCUUUCUUAGUGGUUUAUGUAAUGCAGAAAUUGCAAAUGAGAAGACAGGCACCCGUUCUUUUCUUAAGAAAGGAGUCUACAUGGCAAAUAUUGGGGUUGAAGGCAGCAUGUAUAGGCUAAGGAAGUAUGCUUUUGAUCUUUUGGCAAUGGAGGAUUUGAUAGGACCUGACACAUUGAAUUAUGUUGGGAAAUAUUUGAGACUCAAGUCCACCUUCAUGUACUGUGAUUUCGACAAAGUUAUCUCUGCAGCUCCAGCGAAUGAUAAGCAAUCUCUUGCUGAUUUGGCUAACAGAUUUUUUUGACAAUUUUGAGGAGGUAAAUAUGAUUGUAUCAUUCUUGAUAUGCCUGGAAUUUAACUGAUUGUUGAAUUGCUGUCGAUUUUGACAUCUUGAAGAUGCUUCAAGGAAAAACCCGCCUCAGACAGAAUUAUCUUAUGAAGGGACUAAGGUGAUUCUCCAAGAAGUCAUGGAUAGAAUGCCAGAUAUCUGAAGGAUUUCUCUCUCAUUAUCAUCAUUAAGACAGUCGUUUCAGUGUAUCCCAGUUAGCUCUUAACGUUUGUUUUAGCCUUAAAACUGUUUUUACACCAAUUUCAAGUAGACGCAAACAUUCUAAUGCGCAAAUAUAGAGGAAAGAAAUAUGCACAUCAGAAUGAAUUGUGGAUGCAACAAGUGAAUUCAGUAUGAAACUCAUUCUCAAAACAUAAUGAUAUAAUACAAAAUUAAUAAAAAGGGUACAACCCCGUCAAAUUUUAUUAAUUCAUCAAGAGAUGACAGGCUUUCUUAUGCAGCAAUCUUUUUUACUAUACAAUUUAUAAUCAGCUCAAGUUAGGAUCACUCUUCACUUUCUCUAUUUAUCAAUACUCGUGACAGAGAUAAUAUUCUGAAAUAGAAACAUAAAUCAUUGUUUUGUUAAGAAUCAGCCCAAGCUCAAGCGAGAAUCCGUGGAUCGCAUGAUGGUAUGACGCCGAGGAACUCCUAUCUCACAUGCAUUAACUCUGGAAGCAAACCGGAGUGAGCAUAAUGACUCGCCCAAUGAAGAGGGAUCAGGAGAGAUGUUCACAAACAUAAGUGUCUUUGAGUCCCCACCCAGACAUGGCUGAAGAAGAUAAGUGAGCUUUGAGUUUCUAAAUGGUACAUGGUCCUCCUUCUUUGCCAAGGCAAAGAUAACAUCACUUAAAGAAGAUAAACUUUUAUUGAUGGCUUGAGUUUCUUUUAAUCUAUCCCCAGUUGAGCCGCUCUUAGAAAGACGCUCACUCCCAGCAAGAUCAAUGAGAUUCAAGACGCCUUGCACUUGUUGGUCUGUGCUCUCAUUAAUUCCAGAUAUUCGUAGUGUGAAAACAAAGUGACUUCUAGAUGACUGUUCGUUCAUCUGGGUCUUGCCAACAGACCUACUGUUAGCAGCCUGAUCUAAAAGAAAUGAGACCUCCCUAGUACUGUGAACGUCCACAAUGCUAAGGUCAGAGACAAGUGUGUUCCCAUUAGCGUCAUGUUUAAUUGCAUAUUGCUUUGCACUAGGACCAUUUUCUGUUCGUGAUGGAUCUCGAUUUGUUGACAACAGAUCACGAAUUGUUUCAUUGUAUAUUUCUAACAUUGAAACCUGCAUUUCAUAUUUCCAGCCUUGGGAUAGAAGAGACUGCCUAGUCUGGAAUAUUUGUUCUAGUGACCGGGGAAUCAACCCCUUUUGCUCUGGAUUCCCCGGUUUUCCCAUCAUAGUGUAAGUUUUACCUGAACCUGUCUGGCCAUAAGCGAAAAUACAAACCUGGAGAGAGAAAGAAUAAUCAUCCCUUGAAGCAUGCAUGACGCUAUGCUUAAAUGACUAACAAAGUCAAGGGGAUACAGUUAGCAGAUUCCAUUUUAAUCAUGGACCACAUCUACUAAUUACAAAUGCUAUACUUUUGUACCAUGAACACAACACCAACUCAACAAAACAAAGUGAUAUUGGGUUGCAAAAAAAUCAAUCUAUAGCUUGUUACAAAAGUCAUAAAUGGCUAAUAAGCUCAUAAUGUACCAAUGAAAUAAGUAGUUACCAUCAGCCACAUACUUGUUCUUGAAAGUUUAAUGUACUAUAACUUACUUGGACCGUGAUAAAUUACCUUAUAACCAUCAAGAGCACUUUGAACAAGCUGUGAAAUUUCAACAAAAACAUCCUCUUGUGAUGCAUCAGGUGUAAAAACUUUGUCAAAAGUGAAAGGAUACUUUUGCCCUGAAGAUAAUAUAAGCAAAAGUUUUUAAGUUUCAAAAGCCAGUUCGAAUAAGAGAAAAGAAUGGUGUUGCACACAAAAGAAAUGUGUCUCUAAAACAUGUUUUUGCAUGUGUACCAUUUUGCAGCAAAUCAAUGCCUCGCCCAAGAGCUUCUGUUGUUGCGGGAUAAGAUAUAACCUUGCCUUCAGCACAAGGAAUAUCGUCAGGCAAUGGAGGCCGCACUCGACAGAAUACACGGAUGUUCCCUUUCAGUUCCAAGAUUGUAUUAUGCAACUUUUUACGGAGCUUCUCUCCUUCAAUAAGUUUAAAUUCUGCAUCUUCUAGGCGAUUUUGUAACUCGGUUACAAGCCUUUUUUGUGCUUCAAAUUCAGUUCUUGUCUCAAAUGCAGACAUAUCAGAUACCCGUAAUUUAUUCUGUGCAACCUCAAGCUGUUCCUGCAGUGUCCUUAACUGGUUACUUUGUGAUAAAUAUCUUUCCUCUAAUUCAUUUGAUUUUACUGCUAGUUCUUCACAAUUAACAACUCUGGCCAUUAACUCUUGCACUUGUGACUGGUAUUGAUCAUGAUCAUUUCUCACCUGUUGCAACUCUCCCCUUAGAUCUGCAACUUCAUUUACCAGAGCAUCCUUCUGCUUUGUUACUUCCUCUAGAGAUGCUUUGCACAAAGCAUGCUGGUCUUGCAAUGACUGGUGUUGACCCCUUAAGUGGCUGAGAGACUCCACAAUAGCAGCUUUUUCUUUCUCACCAUGCUUAACAGUUUCAUGAGCUGUCUCAAGAUCUGUCUGAAGUUUACUAUUAUAUAGCUGUAAGCUUGAAUUGUACUCCUGUAACAGCUUGUACAUAUCAUUUACUGCUAUUAUCCUUUGAUUAGCACUUUGAAGCUCUCCCUGAACUUUUUCAAGCUCCUCUGAGAGGGAAGUUUGUGACUUCUCAAAAUUGAGUCUGGCCUCUUUUUCUUUUGCAAGAGAAUCUAUUGCAGCCAACUUUUCUGAUUCUUCUUUUGAAACCUUCUCUUGUAAAGAGGAAAGACUUUUUCUCAGCUCCACGAUAAUCAAAUUCAAUUCUUCUUCCUUAUUUUUCAACAUUAUCUCCAUAUCAGCACACCGACUCUCUGUAAAUUCCAAUGCAUUUUGCAACUUCUCUUGCUCAAAUAGGUAAAAUCCUUCUAGCUCUUGAAACCAUUUGAUGCAAAGCCUUAGCCUCUUUAUAUAGUCCAUCAUAUUGUCACAUCUCUCCUUGUAAUUGAACUUGUUUUUGUAUUUCAUUCUCUCAUUUAGUAAUACAUCAACCUCCUCUCUUGUGAACUCAAUCCCUCCACACUCUGAUCCGGUAUGACUGGGUGGAGCACUAGUCGGAGCAAGUUCUUGUUCACAAUUUACAAUUGAAAAUGCUUGUCGCAAUCUGCCAUUGGUUGCAGUCCCAACCAUUUUGUCAACUCCAAGCUGUUGCCACUUAUCUACAGGCACCUCAUCACCGAUAUACUUCUAUGAAACCCCCAAAAAAAAAAUUGAACAAUAAUAUUCAAAGAUAUGAUCUUCAGUACAAAACACUAAAGCAUUAACAUAUCCACUAUACUACAGGCACCUUCUCAAGCUUCUCUUAAAUGGCCCAAAAAUUUCGCCAAGAACAAAAAAGAAAAUUACAAAUUUCUAAAUUUUUGGGGAAAGAAAACCUCUAAAAUUCACUAUCCAACAGAAAGGGAGAAAAGAACAUUAAACACCAACACAAAUUAAAAAUAAAAAUAAAAAUA